GACGGAGGAGGGAAGCGGUAUCCGGGAUUAUUGGGCGUAAAGGGUACGUAGGCGGCUGGUCAAGUCUGGGGUCAAAGGCCACAGCUCAACUGUGGGAAGGCCCUGGAAACUGACCGGCUAGAGUGAGGUAGGGGUUGCGGGAAUUCCCGGUGUAGCGGUGAAAUGCGUAGAGAUCGGGAAGAACACCUGAGGCGGAAGCGCGCAACUGGGCCUCAACUGACGCUGAGGUACGAAAGCUAGGGGAGCGAAUGGG
rnacentral:rRNA from 1 species